UACAGAGGGUGCGAGCGUUAAUCGGAAUUAUUGGGCGUAAAGGGUGCGUAGGCGGAUGCACAAGUGAUAUGUGAAAUACCUGGGCUUAACCUGGGGAGGUCAUGUCAGACUGUGCGUCUAGAAUGUGGUAGAGGAAGGUGGAAUUCCUGGUGUAGCGGUGAAAUGCGUAGAUAUCAGGAAGAACAUCAAUGGCGAAGGCAACCUUCUGGGCCAUUAUUGACGCUGAGGCACGAAAGCGUGGGGAGCGAACAGG
rnacentral:rRNA from 1 species